rnacentral:rRNA from 1 species
UACGUAGGGUGCGAGCGUUAAUCGGAAUUACUGGGCGUAAAGCGUGCGCAGGCGGUUUUGUAAGCCAGGUGUGAAAUCCCCGGGCUCAACCUGGGAAUGGCAUUUGGGACUGCAAGGCUGGAGUGCGGCAGAGGAGACUGGAAUUCCUGGUGUAGCAGUGAAAUGCGUAGAUAUCAGGAGGAAUACCGAUGGCGAAGGCAGCCCCCUGGGUCGAUACUGACGCUCAUGCACGAAAGCGUGGGGAGCAAACAGG